rnacentral:rRNA from 1 species
AGAGUUUGAUCCUGGCUCAGGAUGAACGCUGGCGGUAUGCUUAACACAUGCAAGUCGAACGAAAGUUUUUAACUUUAGUGGCGAACGGGUGCGUAAUACGUGAGAAUCUGCCCUUAGGAGGAGGAUAACUGCUGGAAACGGCUGCUAACACUCCAUAUGUCGAGAGAUGAAAUAAUUUAUUGCCUAAGGAUGAGCUCGCGCCUGAUUAGCUAGUUGGUGAGGUAAUGGCUCACCAAGGCCACGAUCAGUAGCUGGUUUGAGAGAACGAUCAGCCACACUGGGACUGAGACACGGCCCAGACUCCUCCGGGAGGCAGCAGUGAGGAAUCUUCCGCAAUGGGCGAAAGCCUGACGGAGCAAUACCGCGUGAGGGAUGAAGGCCUUUGGGUUGUAAACCUCUUUUUUCAAGGAGGAAGUUCUGACGUGUACUUGAAGAAUAAGCAUCGGCUAACUCCGUGCCAGCAGCCGCGGUAAUACGGGGGAUGCAAGUGUUAUCCGGAAUUAUUGGGCGUAAAGCGUCUGUAGGUGGUUAAAUAAGUCUACUGUUAAAGCUUGAAACUUAAUUUCAGAGAUGCAGUAGAAACUAUUUGACUAGAGUAUAAUUGAGGUAGAAGGAAUUUCCAGUGGAGUGGUGAAAUGCGUAGAGAUUGGAAAGAACACCAAUUGCGAAGGCAUUCUAUUAAAUUAUUCUGACACUCAGAGACGAAAGCUAGGGUAGCAAAUGGGAUUAGAUACCCCAGUAGUCCUAGCCGUAAACGAUGGAUACUAUAUAUUAGACGUAUCGACCCGUUUGGUAUUAAAGCUAACGCGUUAAGUAUCCCGCCUGGGGAGUAUGCGCGCAAGCGUGAAACUCAAAGGAAUUGACGGGGGCCCGCACAAGCGGUGGAGCAUGUGGUUUAAUUUGAUGCAACGCGAAGAACCUUACCAGGGUUUGACAUGGUACAAAAUUUCUUGAAAAAGAAUGGGUGAUACACACGUACACACAGGUGGUGCAUGGCUGUCGUCAGCUCGUGUCGUGAGAUGUUGGGUUAAGUCCCGCAACGAGCGCAACCCUUAUUUUUAGUUGCUAAUUUAUUUUAGGUUUUCUAGAAAGACUGCCGGUGAUAAACCGGAGGAAGGUGUGGAUGACGUCAAGUCAUCAUGCCCCUUACAUCCUGGGCUACACACGUACUACAAUGCUACGGACAAAGGGCAGCAAGUUCGCGAGGACAAGCAAAUCCCAUAAACCGUAGCUCAGUUCAGAUCGUAGGCUGCAACUCGCCUACGUGAAGGAGGAAUCGCUAGUAAUCGCAGGUCAGCAUACUGCGGUGAAUACGUUCCCGGGCCUUGUACACACCGCCCGUCACACCAUGGGAGCUGGUCAUGCCCGAAACCGUUUGCUUAACCUUUAUGGAGAGCGGCGUCUAAGGUAGGGUUAGUGACUGGGGUGAAGUCGUAACAAGGUAACC